rnacentral:rRNA from 1 species
CCUACGGGCGGCUGCAGUGAGGAAUAUUGGUCAAUGGCCGCAGGGCUGAACCAGCCAAGUCGCGUGAGGGAUGACGGUCCUAUGGAUUGUAAACCUCUUUUGUCAGGGAGCAAAGUGCGCCACGUGUGGCGCUUUGCGUGUACCUGAAGAAAAAGCAUCGGCUAACUCCGUGCCAGCAGCCGCGGUAAUACGGAGGAUGCGAGCGUUAUCCGGAUUUAUUGGGUUUAAAGGGUGCGCAGGCGGAAUGUCAAGUCAGCGGUAAAAUUUCGGGGCUCAACCCCGUCGUGCCGUUGAAACUGGGGUUCUUGAGUGAGCGAGAAGUAGGCGGAAUGCGUGGUGUAGCGGUGAAAUGCAUAGAUAUCACGCAGAACUCCGAUUGCGAAGGCAGCAUACCGGGGCUCAACUGACGCUCAUGCACGAAAGCGUGGGUAUCGAACAGGAUUAGAUACCCCAGUAGUC